rnacentral:lncRNA from 1 species
CACCGCCAAGGCCGCCCAGGACUCCCGCGGCUCCAUGCACGAAUGGCAGCAGAACGUGGCAACGCAGCGUGGCACGGAGAGUCUGUUUCCACGAGGGACAAGACAGAACUAAACCCUCUCCACAACCGACAUCCAAGCACACGUGGGCGCAGCCAUCUUGUUGCCCCCGGUCCGCGGUCAGAUCACUGAGACCAGCUUGGUGUCAGCCAG